rnacentral:rRNA from 1 species
GCCCUUAACAGGAUUAGAUACCCUGGUAGUCCACCCCGUAAACGUUGGGAACUAGUUGUGGGGUCCAUUCCACGGAUUCCGUGACGCAGCUAACGCAUUAAGUUCCCCGCCUGGGGAGUACGGCCGCAAGGCUAAAACUCAAAGGAAUUGACGGGGACCCGCACAAGCGGCGGAGCAUGCGGAUUAAUUCGAUGCAACGCGAAGAACCUUACCAAGGCUUGACAUACACGAGAACGCUGCAGAAAUGUAGAACUCUUUGGACACUCGUGAACAGGUGGUGCAUGGUUGUCGUCAGCUCGUGUCGUGAGAUGUUGGGUUAAGUCCCGCAACGAGCGCAACCCUCGUUCUAUGUUGCCAGCACGUAAUGGUGGGAACUCAUGGGAUACUGCCGGGGUCAACUCGGAGGAAGGUGGGGAUGACGUCAAAUCAUCAUGCCCCUUAUGUCUUGGGCUUCACGCAUGCUACAAUGGCCGGUACAAAGGGCUGCAAUACCGCAAGGUGGAGCGAAUCCCAAAAAGCCGGUCCCAGUUCGGAUUGAGGUCUGCAACUCGACCUCAUGAAGUCGGAGUCGCUAGUAAUCGCAGAUCAGCAACGCUGCGGUGAAUACGUUCCCGGGUCUUGUACACACCGCCCGUCAAGUCAUGAAAGUCGGUAACACCUGAAGCCGGUGGCCCAACCCUUGUGGAGGGAGCCGUCGAAGGUGGGAUCGGUAAUUAGGACUAAGUCGUAACAAGGUAACCAAGGGC